ensembl:lncRNA
CCAAAAGAGAGGCUAAAAGUUAGUUGAGUUGGAAUCAGUAUGUGCGUUACUACUCUGACAGUUCCUGCUGGCCUUGAUGAAACCCCCUCAAGGGUGGCUGGUGAGACUGUGUUCUGAUUACCUUUAGUUUUUAUCAGUGAAUAAAAAUCUCUCCUAGAAGCCUCUGGGGGAGAGGUAAUGGUUGGGGUGGGCCAUUGGCACUCCUCAUCUCUCUUCCUCCAUAUUUAUUGAGUAUCUCCUAGGUGACAGAUGGCAGGUAGCACCCUUCUCUUCAUACUCAAGUUGACAAGGCAGUUAUGUCCCUAUGUUACAGAUAAGAAAAAUGAGGCUGAAACACGACAUCUUCCAAGGUCACAUCUCAAUCUGGGUCUCCACAGCAGUGGGUAUAUAUUUCUGAAUAAUCGUUUACACGUUUGUCUCCUCCAUUAUGCCCUGAAUGAUUGACAGGAGAAAGCCCAAGCAUUCCACCUCCGAUCUCCAAUGCUUCCUGGUGUUGGUAUAGUAACACGGACAACAUGCUCCCAGCUGCACACACAACAACAGGCAACUCUGGUCGGGCAUGUUAUUGCGGCCCCAGCUUUCACAGUGAAAAAGAAGCUAACAACCCCAACCAGAAAUGGUCCCGAUGAUCCUUCCAGGAUGGGAUGUCCUGGCCAGGGACACAGCAUGACAUCGCCAGCAGGAAGUAGCUUUCUUCAUAUUGAGGAGAACACUGAGCUCUCUGAACCACCCCCAGCCUUCUCGCCGGCUCUGAAUCACCAAGCCCAGCAACCCCGAAUGCAUGAGUGUUAGAGUCUGAAUUCGUAACUGAGCACAGAAGCACUUCCAGCAAGUUCUGAUCUCGGCAGAAUGAAUUCUCCCCUUUCCCAGUUGGAUCGGAAACCCACAUCAUCACAGGCUCCCCCAAGUGAUGUGAGUGCACAAUAGGGUCUGGGGAAACCCUAUGCCACACUCUACUUCUGCGGAGAGAAGACACAGACCACUUGUGGAGGCAUCGAGGGAGCUCAGCGUUGCAGUGGAGGCUCCUGGAACUCCCCGGGAACCCGGCAGGAGACAGCUGUCAGCACCCACCCAGCUGCCGAAAGGAAGCCGGGGACCCUUCCUCCUCUAAAGAGGCCCAAUUUCAACGACAUUACAGUGAAGGCUGUUGGGACAGUCUCCCACCUAGUGCUUUGGAGCCCUGACCCACCUCCGAAGUGACCUCACCAUCCUGCCUGGCACUGGCACCGGGAAGGGCCAGGGACCCGGCUGGGCAGGCGGCGAGACCCGGCUGGCUUCCUGGCCCACUGGCUCCCGUGCAGGGGGUAGCGGGGGGGUCCCCGAUUCUGCCCAGAGCCUUUCCCCUCGCGAGCUCACGUUCCUGCAGCACCUCCCGGCUCCGGCCCCACAAUGCAGCGCUCGGCUGGCAGCGGUUCAGCUGAACACUAAACACUUGGCUCCGUUUCAACACGGCUGCCAAGAUUUGGCAAGCAGAGAGUUGCAGGGAAGCAGCAGGCUGCUAAACCCUUUCACAUUUUUAAUUAGAUCCACACACCCAUGUCUUUGAGCUAUCAUAAAUAUACAGAUGACAUCGAGAGCAUUAUUCAGGGUUAAAAAAAGGGGGGGGGGGAGAGCAAACUCUAUACAAUGGUGCAGCUUCCCUUCUUAGAAUGAUUUACUUCUCGUUAGUUUGGGGGCUAAAGGCAAAGAGAGGGGAGUGAUAUUUGCUUCGGCACAACGGUGUCUGAUAGCAGAUCUCCCCAGGAUCUGGAAAGCUCGGGUCUCAGGCCUCCUUGCUGCUGUCCGGGGCUGC